AGCAACAGGGUCCAGUUCACACUUAGCACUAAUUAAAUACUUUAUUGAAUAAAUACAAUACCAAACAAAAUGCAUUCAAAUGCUUUCUAAAAAAAUUUUAAAGGCCUUUCUACUCAGGCUAAUGACAAACACAAUAAAGGCAGAUAUGCUAGUUUAACAUAAUUGGCUGAUUUUAUACAGCACUUAUAUCUUUUAGUCCACAAGUAUAUUAUUAAAUGAUAGAGAACAUCUAAUACAACCAUUUCUACAGAACUAGGAAAUAAAUUUCUAAGAAAGAAAGAUUUUACAGACCCCAUCUUUUAUACCCACCC
rnacentral:lncRNA from 1 species